AACGAACGCUGGCGGCGCGCCUAACACAUGCAAGUCGAACGAGAAUCCGGGGCAACCCGGUAGUAAAGUGGCAAACGGGUGAGGAAUACAUGGGUAACCUACCCUUGAGAAGGGAAUAACCCGCCGAAAGGUGAGCUAAUACCCUAUACGCUAUCUUUUUUUCGAAAAGGAUAGGAAAGCCGGGUCGAGGACCUGGUACUCAAGGGAGGGGCUCAUGUCCUAUCAGCUUGUUGGUGGGGUAACGGCCUACCAAGGCUACGACGGGUAGCUGGUCUGAGAGGAUGAUCAGCCACACUGGCACUGAGAUACGGGCCAGACUCCUACGGGAGGCAGCAGUGAGGAAUAUUGCGCAAUGGGCAAAGCCUGACGCAGCGACGCCGCGUGGGGGAUGAAGGUUUUCGGAUUGUAAACCCCUUUC
rnacentral:rRNA from 1 species